CCUACGGGAUGCAGCAGUGGGGAAUAUUGCGCAAUGGGCGAAAGCCUGACGCAGCGACGCCGCGUGAGGGAUGAAGGUCUUCGGAUCGUAAACCUCUGUCAGCAGGGAAGAACGGUCACUGUGCUAAUCAGCAGUGAAUUGACGGUACCUGCAAAGGAAGCACCGGCUAACUCCGUGCCAGCAGCCGCGGUAAUACGGAGGGUGCGAGCGUUAAUCGGAAUUACUGGGCGUAAAGCGCUCGUAGGCGGUAGGUCAAGUCAAGGGGGAAAUCCCCGCGCUCAACGUGGGAACUGCCUUUGAAACUGGCAAACUGGAGUGUGUGAGAGGAUAGUGGAAUUCCAGGUGUAGGAGUGAAAUCCGUAGAUAUCUGGAGGAACAUCAGUGGCGAAGGCGACUAUCUGGCACAUAACUGACGCUGAGGAGCGAAAGCGUGGGUAGCAAACAGGAUUAGAUACCCGAGUAGUC
rnacentral:rRNA from 1 species